GAUGAACGCUGGCGGCGUGCCUAAUACAUGCAAGUCGAGCGAACAGACAAGGAGCUUGCUCCUUUGACGUUAGCGGCGGACGGGUGAGUAACACGUGGAUAACCUACCUAUAAGACUGAUAUAACUACGGGAAACCGGCGCUAAUCCCGGAUAACAUCUUGCACCGCAUGGUUCGAUAGUGAAAGACGGUUUUGCUGUAACUUAUAGAUGGACCCGCGCCGUAUUAGCUAGUUGGUAAGGUAACGGCUUACCAAGGCAACGAUACGUAGCCGACCUGAGAGGGUGAUCGGCCACACUGGAACUGAGACACGGUCCAGACUCCUACGGGAGGCAGCAGUAGGGAAUCUUCCGCAAUGGGCGAAAGCCUGACGGAGCAACGGCGCGUGAGUGAUGAAGGUCUUCGGAUCGUAAAACUCUGUUAUUAGGGAAGAACAAAUGUGUAAGUAACUGUGCACGUCUUGACGGUACCUAAUCAGAAAGCCACGGCUAACUACGUG
rnacentral:rRNA from 1 species